GAGUGCAACUGUGAGAAGCUGCAAACUCUAUCACUGUCAUCAUAACACCUACAAGAAGCUGUUUUCUGGCUUGCAUGACAGGGGAUGAUAAUAACUUCUUUGCAUCCCCUUUCAAAGUGUGAAAACUUCCUUUUUCUGUAAAGUCUCAUUCUCGGAGUGAGGCUGUGUGUGACAGACUGAUACAAGUGGGUCCUCUGAGAAAUCCAGUUACAGUCCCACAUGAGAUGGAGGCUCAGACAGUCACGUGGUUGGUUUUUCUGGCCCUAAUAAAACAUGUUUCCUCAAAUAACUCUGGAAGCACCGUUAAAUACAGUCCCAAACAUGUGACAGUUCAAGCCAAUCCUGGUUUUGAUGUGAAGGAAAAUGUGUCGUUGACACUGAGCUGUUCUGCCGAGUCCAACCCACCAGUGAGCUCUGUCACCUGGAGGAAGACGACUGAUGGGAGAGUGGAAAUUAUCCGACGGACUCGUACUGGGACUCGGACCUUCAGGGUGAAUUCAGCCAGUCCCUCUGACAGUGGACUGUACAGCUGUGAAGCCACCAAUGACAUUGGAAGUGGAAAGUCACAGCCAACUGAGGUUAAAG